rnacentral:misc_RNA from 1 species
GAUGAAGAACGCAGCGAAAUGCGAUAAGUAAUGUGAAUUGCAGAAUUCAGUGAAUCAUCGAAUCUUUGAACGCACAUUGCGCCCCUUGGUAUUCCAUGGGGCAUGCCUGUUCGAGCGUCAUUUGUACCUUCAAGCUUUGCUUGGUGUUGGGUGUUUGUCUCGCCUUUGCGUGUAGACUCGCCUUAAAAUAAUUGGCAGCCGGCGUAUUGAUUUCGGAGCGCAGUACAUCUCGCGCUUUGCACUCAUACCGACAGCGUCCAAAAGUACAUUUUACACUCUUGACCUCGGAUCAGGUAGGGAUACCCGCUGAACUUAAGCAUAUCAAUAAGCGGAGGA